rnacentral:rRNA from 1 species
UACGUAGGGGGCUAGCGUUGUCCGGAUUUAUUGGGCGUAAAGCGCGUGUAGGCGGGACGGCACGUCGGUCGCUGAAAUCCCCCGGCUCAACCGGGGAACGGGCGCCGAUACGACCGUCCUGGAGGGACGUAGGGGGACCUGGAACUUCCGGUGGAGCGGUGAAAUGCGUUGAGAUCGGAAGGAACGCCGGUGGCGAAAGCGGCGUGCUGGACCUUUGCUGACGCUGAUGCGCGAAAGCCAGGGGAGCGAACGGG